rnacentral:rRNA from 1 species
UACGUAGGGUGCAAGCGUUAAUCGGAAUUACUGGGCGUAAAGCGUGCGCAGGCGGCUUUGCAAGACAGAUGUGAAAUCCCCCGGCUUAACCUGGGAACUGCGUCUGAUACUGGAGGGCUUGAGUAUGGGAGAGGGUAGUGGAAUUCCCGGUGUAGUGGUGAAAUGCGUAGAUAUCGGGAGGAACACCAGUGGCGAAGGCGACUACCUGGCCCGUAACUGACGCUGAGGUGCGAAAGCGUGGGGAGCAAACAGG